CCUACGGGCGGCAGCAGUGAGGAAUAUUGGUCAAUGGGCGCAAGCCUGAACCAGCCAUGCCGCGUGCAGGAUGACGCAUCUAUGGUGUGUAAACUGCUUUUGUACAGGAAGAAACAUCCCGACGAGUCGGGACUUGACGGUACUGUAAGAAUAAGGAUCGGCUAACUCCGUGCCAGCAGCCGCGGUAAUACGGAGGAUCCAAGCGUUACCCGGAAUCAUUGGGUUUAAAGGGUCCGUAGGCGGCUUAAUAAGUCAGCGGUGAAAGUUUUUGGCUUAACCAAAAAAUUGCCAUUGAUACUGUUAGGCUUGAAUUUUUGUGAAGUAACUAGAAUAUGUAGUGUAGCGGUGAAAUGCUUAGAUAUUACAUGGAAUGCCAAUUGCGAAGGCAGGUUACUAACAAACGAUUGACGCUGAUGGACGAAAGCGUGGGUAGCGAACAGGAUUAGAUACCCGAGUAGUC
rnacentral:rRNA from 1 species